rnacentral:rRNA from 1 species
UACGGGGGGGGCAAGCGUUGUUCGGAAUUACUGGGCGUAAAGGGCUCGUAGGCGGCCAACUAAGUCGGACGUGAAAUCCCCAGGCUCAACCUGGGAACUGCGUCCGAUACUGGAUGGCUUGAAUCCGGGAGAGGGAUGCAGAAUUCCAGGUGUAGCGGUGAAAUGCGUAGAUAUCUGGAGGAAUACCGGUGGCGAAGGCGGCAUCCUGGACCGGCAUUGACGCUCAGGCGCGAAAGCUAGGGGAGCGAACAGG